UUUGACCUCGGAUCAGGUAGGGAUACCCGCUGAACUUAAGCAUAUCAAUAGCCGGGAGGAAGAUCAUUACCUUUCAAUGCAGAAGAGUUGGGAUGGUUGAGUAUCUCGCUCUCAAUUC
rnacentral:rRNA from 1 species